GACGAACGCUGGCGGCGUGCUUAACACAUGCAAGUCGAACGGAAAGGCCCUGCUUUUGUGGGGUGCUCGAGUGGCGAACGGGUGAGUAACACGUGAGUAACCUGCCCUUGACUUUGGGAUAACUUCAGGAAACUGGGGCUAAUACCGGAUAGGAGCUCCUGCUGCAUGGGGGGGGUUGGAAAGUUUCGGCGGUUGGGGAUGGGCUCGCGGCUUAUCAGCUUGUUUGUGGGGUAGUGGCUUACCAAGGCUUUGACGGGUAGCCGGCCUGAGAGGGUGACCGGCCACAUUGGGACUGAGAUACGGCCCAGACUCCUACGGGAGGCAGCAGUGGGGAAUAUUGCACAAUGGGCGGAAGCCUGAUGCAGCAACGCCGCGUGCGGGAUGACGGCCUUCGGGUUGUAAACCGCUUUCGCCUGUGACGAAGCGUGAGUGACGGUAAUGGGUAAAGAAGCACCGGCUAACUACGUG
rnacentral:rRNA from 1 species